GAACCCCUAUAGAGCCGUACGCGGGGAGUGGACACAGGGGGGAUGCGCAGCGAGAGCCGAAGACCUCUAAAGAUGAAAGGCGAAUAGACUGGGGGCCAAGGAGAGGGGCGGCUGCCUCUCCAAAUCGUGGACCGGGCAGCUCUGCAGUUGGAGCUACUGAGGCUCAGAGAAAGGGGAAAAGACUUGCCCAAGGUCGCACAGGUGGAGGUGAGAGAGACGAUAGCUGAAUUCAUGGGAGCUGCUGAUAUCACCAAAAGAAAAUAUGGAGAGGAGUGAACCUCAGUUACAGCACCAGAGGACACUUAAAAGUUAAGAGCAUAGGGAGGAGAACAAAGAAAGAACAUAAAACCCAAGGGAAGGGAGAGGAUCCAGAAGAUGAUUAACAUUGUCAAAUGCAAGUGUCAAGAAGAAUGAGGACCGGAGAAAGGACAGCACACCGCAAGGAUCUUGCUCUUACUAUGACCUUCCCGCAGGUUCCCCCUCCUAAACGUGCCCUUCCAUCCUCCUCCACAGCCACCCCUAACUCUUCUUACUGAUGGUACCACAAGCCCUUCCCCCCUACUACCGUUCCCUGACCCCCCCCUCCCCGAUCCCAUGGUCUCCCCUCAACCUUUGGCUCCCAACACCCCA